UUAAGUCCCGUAACGAGCGCAACCCUUGUCCUUAGUUACCAGCACGUUAUGGUGGGCACUCUAAGGAGACUGCCGGUGACAAACCGGAGGAAGGUGGGGAUGACGUCAAGUCAUCAUGGCCCUUACGGCCUGGGCUACACACGUGCUACAAUGGUCGGUACAAAGGGUUGCCAAGCCGCGAGGUGGAGCUAAUCCCAUAAAACCGAUCGUAGUCCGGAUCGCAGUCUGCAACUCGACUGCGUGAAGUCGGAAUCGCUAGUAAUCGUGAAUCAGAAUGUCACGGUGAAUACGUUCCCGGGCCUU
rnacentral:rRNA from 1 species